UGCUUUAAGGCUGUGAGCGUGCCAAGUGGAAAUUACAGAAUCAACUUCUUCUGUAGGUUACAUGUCAGGUGUCUCAUGCUGGCUUGAGGGCUUUGCAGCAACAGCCAUGAAUUCCACCCUGUCCCGAACACACUGGGUACAUUAUCUGAUGAGUUUUCUUGUGUGAGCUUGUUCUGUCGGCCUGUCCCAAGGGUCUGCCAUGAUGCAGUGGAUGUGGUCAAUGAUUGAUUGUUAUUAUGCAGCCCAGGGUAUUUAUUGCUCAAACCAUACUUUCAACUAUUAUUAGUAUCACUGUGAUUAGAGGCCUCAAUCUGGAUCAGAGCCCCAUUGCUCUAGGCACUGUAUAUGUACCUAGGAAAAGAUGGUCUCUUCUCCAAAUGGCUUACAAUCAAAAUAGAUGAGAGACAUGAAGUAUUAUUAACCCUAUUUGGCCCUGAGAAACUGAGUCCCAAAGAGCCCAGAUUUCUCCUUUGACCCUUUAUAAAUCUGGCCCAGAGUGACUUGCCCAAAGUCACACAUGGAGUUUGUGGCAGAGCUAGGAACUAAGCCCUGACUUUCUCAUUCUCCUCUAGUGACUGAGCUAUAAACCAUCCUUCCCAGCUAACACUGCAAGAAAGGGAAGUAGAAUGAUCCUAGGAAUUACUAUUUGAGCAGUGAAUCAUAUCCUGAUAGAGCAAAGGGUUAAAGAAAAGAGUCCCUGUGGAAAGGAUAAUAGGACCAUGGGCAGGAGCAGGAUGUGUGUUUGGAGAGAACAAGCCUUGCCAAACACACCUGAAUGCUUCCUUGAUGAUUCUGUUCUGGUUUCAUAGCUCAUCAUGCUGCAACAUAAAGGCAUUUGACUUGGUUUCUUGGUUCACCUCCAAUAAUACUGAUAACAAUUAAUGGAGUAAUAAGAUAAAUAGCUGUACCCUCUCCUGAUGGUUUUCUACAUUUCAUUUGAUAGUUAGAAGGUUGGAUACAUAUGUUAUGAGAUCUCUUUGGAACUGACGGUCAGCUAGAUGAUCAGGCAAAGUGUCAUAUAGGCCUUGUAAUAUUUUUUCAGAGGGAGUCACUUUGCAGAUUUUCACUCUUCAUUGGUUUCACAACAUAUCAGCUGAGGGUAUCAUCUCCUUUAUUCUAAAAUAAUGCUUUGUUAUAACUUUGUUAAUGAUUAGUUAUAUCUAUAGUCUAAAGUACUUGCAAUAUUCUUUUUAAUGAGAUUGCUUUGGCAAUGAAACUUCCUCAAGCUGAUGGCUCUGUUGCAGAAAGCUCAAGAUAGAUUUUAAUUUUCUGUACAGUUUCUAAAAUUAUACUGCCAUAUCAAUUCACAGCUUGAUCUACUGUAUCCCUUUUUGGAACGUCUAGGCACAAAGCGUAUCAUAUAGAACGAACUGUUAUAAGAUAAAGUUAUUUCAUAGCUUAGUAAGAGUUUGUGGUUAGCUUAGCUAGUGCCUGUUGCUGUCGCUCAGUGUAACUCCUCUAUGAACCACAGGCACUGCAUCUGCCACUGGACAUGUUUUAAGAAUUUAGGACUAAGUUAUGCCAAGGAUUCUGGCCUGUGCCUUUAGUAGUAAUACAGUCCAUGUUUUCUGUGUCGUUACAGUUGACAAGUCCUUGUCUUGAGGAAAUUACAAUCUUGGUUGACAUACUGGCCCCAGGGAAGCCAAUGGGAGUUCUGUCAUUGACUUCCAUUGGGUCAGGACAAGUUCCUGAACAACUACACCAGUUAAACAUCAUUGGCCUGAUACAAAACUGAUUUAAGUGAAUGGAAAGAGUUCCUUUGAUGUCAGUGGCCUGUGGAUGAGGACCUUUGGUUCAGAGAUGAAUUCAGGAAACAGCUCCCCUGAGAAGUGCCUUGGUACCAGACUGUGUGUGUGUGUCAGGUGUUAUCUCUUUUAUACACUAUUGAUCAAUAUUCUAUGUGUUUUAGUUUAUUUUCCUAUUUUUAAGCCUCCAUCCCCUUAUGGAGAGGGCUCAAAUCCUGGUAAAAUCACAAAAUAACAGUAAUACCACUGAGGAUACUAUGAGCCAUGAAUCAUGAGUCUGGUGGGUGAGGAUAUUAUGUGGUGUACAGGAAUUGGGUGAUAUCCCUUUAAACAGCUGGGAACCCUCUAGUGCGCUUCCCUGUCUCCUGUUGCUGUAUCCACCAGAACUCUGCUGGAGCAGAAGUGUUCAUGGGUAGCCAGGCCUAGCAGUAUUGUACCUAGUAAUACACAUGUGAGAGAACAGGGUCCCAGAGCCUAGGCUCCAGCCUGAGCAGAAACGUCUACACUGCAAUUUUAAACCCCACAGCCCAAGCCCCGUGACCCAAGCCAGCCAAAGGUGUUUAAUUGCUAUGUAGACAUAUCCUUUGAGUCUGUCACUAUAAGGCGUGCUUUCUAAUCCUUUAAUCAGUCUUGUGGCUCUUCUCUGAAACCUCUUCAGUGUAAUCAACAUCCUCUUGGAACUAUGGACUCCAGCACUAGACACAGUAUUCCACCAGUGCAAAAUACAGAGGUCAAAUAGUCUCUCCACUUCCUCUCGAGAUGCUCCUGUUUAUGCAUCCAGGAUUGCAUCAGCUCUUUUGGCCACAGCUUCACACUGGAAGUUUAUGUUCAGCUGAUUAUUGACCACCACCCCCAAGUCUUUUUCAGAAUUACUCCUUCCCAGGAUAGAGUCCCCCAUCCUGUUUCUUUGUUCCUAAGAGUUUAAAGGGUUCUAGGAGCCAUUUGACCCUCCCCGUCCAAUUUUUAAAGACAGACGUGACUAGACUCAAUUGAGAGACCUGGUUCUUUCUCAGUGAUCACUAGAGCUGAUAUCAAUGAUAAGCUGAUCUAAGGGGGCAGUGUCAUGGUGUGGAGACCGUGCUGCAGUGAAAUGACAACACAGAAGAGGCAGCAGCAGAGAGAUUUCCACUACCCAGUGAAAUCAUGAGGAGCUGAAGUCACGAAGAACCGGGCUCGGUGGUGGAACCUCAGAACAUGGCGAGCAGCUGGGGGGCGUCAGUGACAGUGGCAGCAAUGAGCAGUGGCAGAGAAGCCGACAGAGACAGCGACAGCAGCAAGCCGUGGCAGUGACAAUGGCCGAGAAAGCGGCGGAGACAUUGACAAGAAGUGGCACAGACCGCAGCAAUAGUGGUGACCGGAGAUGGAGGCAUCACUCAAACCCCCCUUGCCCCAGAGGCAGGAGGUCCCCUGGACUCUGGGAUGGCAACGACCUCAGAUAGCAAACCAUGAGUGGGAUGCACUGGGGGGAAAUGUGGAGCGGCGUAUUAAAGGACUUUCACACCGUACUGUGGGAAACUGAGGCAAAGGACUAUUGCCCAAGAUACUGCAGAGUGAGUGUUUUACUUAUUGUUUGCUUUCUUUCAAGUCAUUGUUGCAGCAUUUUCCCAGAUUCGUGCUGUAUUUUCUUCUCUUAAUAAACAUUUACUUCUCUUAUACAUACUCUCAGUACCUGCAAUUGGGGAACUAUUCCCUCUAAAAGGGGCCCCGAGGUAGUGGCUUUUUCCCCCCAAAUUUCUGGAUGGGGGCUCGAGCUGGUUCUGCUUCACAAUGAUAAGAAAUACCCCUGUUACUGCCGACACCACCUGGCAGAAGGGUUACAGGAGGAAUAAAGAUCUGCACACAUGAGAUCAUUGAAACAUACAGAGAUGUGUGGACUGUGGUCUAUAACCACCCAUGUGUGGCACUAACCCAGAAUAGAGACUUUUUAGGGUAUGUUAUUUUAUUUCUUAUUUUGAAAAAGUUAAAAGAAAUGGAUUUCUAAGGAACAGAACAAGAGAAACAAACUGCACUAGGGGACUCUCCAAAGCCUGCUGAUGCCAAUGGAGGGUCUUUCCAUUGACCUCAUGGGGCUUUGUACCAGGCUGUAGAUAUUCACCAGGUCUAAAUAUACAUAAUGUAACUUCUUCAAGGCAGCAGGGACUUGUCAAUUACAUUUCUGUAACAUACUCUGGUGCGGUGUGGAUAACAGUCAUUAUUAUUAACUGCAGCACAUAUGUUUUAAAUACCACUUUUAGCAAAACAAGAUUUCUACAACUCAGUAUAUCACAAUUCUCAGUACCCUAAAUACAGGGGUGCUCCAUCUCCUUUCUGUCAUGAUGUCUCUUCCCUCUAGGGACCUGAGAUCCUCAAUGACCCUCUGUCAUAAAGAUCCUUUACCUUCUCUUUGUUGUUCUUGGUGCUCCAGAUUGCUUCAGGUCAGAUGUAAAUAAAAUCUAGGGAUAAUAUAGAGAGACAUUUCUGAGCUUCAAGUUCAGUUGCCUAAUUCUUUCUAUUAAACUUCUUCCAAUUCCUUUUCUGAAGACUUCUAAAGCCUCAGUGGGUUGCAGUAGAAAUGUGAAAUUUGAUAGGUGAACAGCCCGGACACCAGGAAGGUUCCUUUGCUGCAUCCAUGGAAAUCCAUUCAGAUUUGGUUAAAUUCUGAACUAAUAAAAAUAACAUUCCCAGCUGUGUUUUCCUCAACAGAUGCUUGUUGCUAAAAAAAAAAAAAAAAAACAACCCAACAGUCGAUCUGCACCUCAUGGCACUAGGAGCUGUAAAUACUUUAAGUUUGGAAAAGUUAUAAAUAAUUGAAAACUGUCAAAUGAAAGAAAGUAUCUAGUAACCUCUAUUUUAGGUGUUGCUACCUGCACCACCUAUAAUGUUUAGCUAAUUAUAACAAAGAUAACAAAGCAUUUGGUUUAUAUUGAAGAAGGUGAUAAAUUUGAAACCAAUAUGAAGGGAAAAUUUUUAAGGUGAAUUCAGCUAAAAUGUAAUAAAGCCUAGACGGCAACAAAGUCUAAUCAGCAUUUUGACUAGUGCAAAAACAGAUUAUAUUGUUAUUCUUAAUUGUUAGUAUUUUUAAACUUAUGAUGCAAUCCUACUAAUUUACAAAUGAAAUGUAGAAAUUACCCAGCUGCUGGUACAGUGCCAUGUAGAGCAAUUUGUCUAACUAUUGAUUUAAUUGUGAUAAACAUUGUAAGUAAUGAAUAAGUCAAAUGACUUUAUGUUGCAGCGUGAUGAACUAUGAAACACAUACAAAUCAUCAAGAAAUGUGAAAGGACUUUACAUAAAGAAUCUUUCCUGCCUUCAAAAUGGACAUUUCUGCUGGCAGCUCAAACUGCUGAUGGAGAAAUUGUCUCUUGGGGAAGGACACAGAGUCGUGUCAAGUUGGCCAAGGACCACACCACAGGGAAGCCAACAGAAAGGGGCCUGAAGAAAUAAAUUGUUGACCAGAGCUAAACCAGCAAGUGUUCGUUAUAUGUCCCAAGACAUUUUACACAAAGCUCUGUGGCCUAACGUGUCUUGCACAAUCUGGGAGGGCACAAGAUGUUUUGCACAAAGACCAUGAAAUUUUCCACAGAUAAAGUUGCAAUUCCAAUAUCUUAAUUAUGGUAGGACAUUUCAAAUCUUCUCCAGAAGCAGGGGUCACUUUCUGAUUGGCCCACAGCAGCUUUGCCAAGAAGAAAACAAGCCUUCAGAAACUGUAUAAAACUGGCUGUUCUGUUCAAAGCCUCACUCCCUGAAGCUCAUAAAUCUGGAUCAGAGAGGCAGUGAGCAGGACUGCCAUCACCUGGCUACUGAGAGCACCCUCUGUCUGCAAAUUCAGGGACUCUGUCUCCUUGCUGUCUUGGAAUCUCUUCUCUUCAGUGACGCUGAGUUCCAGGCCAACCUUCAGCCAUGAAGAUCCUUUACCUGCUCUUUGCUGUUGUCUUCUUGGUGGUCCAGGGUGUCCCAGAAUUCUCCCAGGCUGAGAGGAACAGCUUGAUGUGUAGAGAGCUUGGAGGUGCCUGCUUCCCUCUAAGAUGUCCGUCCAAUUCUGUGCACAUUAGAAGUUGCUAUCCACAGGGCGUUUGCUGUCGAAGGAGAUUUUUUGACUGAUUGUCUAAUCAGGAUCUCUUGGAAUCUGGGAGACAGCCACUUACUUCUAAAAUCAACAGAUCCUGCUUCAAUGGAACCCUGAAGUGCUGCUUAUGUGGGCCAUAAAGAACCUUGUGAGCUGGAGAAAUUCCAGAAGGGAGCCCUUGUGUCCCCCAUAUAAGAUUUGUUAUUCUCCUUUUAAUAAAAACAAGCUGGUGUGAGAUCAUA